rnacentral:rRNA from 1 species
AUUGAACGCUGGCGGCAGGCCUAACACAUGCAAGUCGAGCGAGCGGCGGACGGGUGAGUAAUGUAUGGGGACUGCCCGAUAGAGGGGGAUAACUACUGGAAACGGUGGCUAAUAACGCAUACUAUCGGAUAACCCAUAUGGGAUUAGCUAGUAGGUGGGGUAAAGGCUCACCUAGGCGACGAUCUCUAGCUGGUCUGAGGGGAUGAUCACCCACACUGAGAUUGAGACACGGCCCAGACUCCUACGGGGGCAGCAGGGGGGAUUAUUGCACAAUGGGCGCAAUCCUGAUGCAGCCAUGCCGCGUGUAUGAAGAAGGCCUUAGGUUUGUAAAGUACUUUCAGCGGGGAGGCGUUACCCGCAGAAGAAGCACCGGCUAACUCCUUGCCAGCAGCCGCGGUAAUA